CUUUUUGUGCAUAAUGUAUAUAUAGGGGGGUGGUAGUACUCUUGGGGUAGACAGGCAUGUGCUGGGAUGGCAUGCCAAGGCAUGUGCUGGGAUGGCAUGCCAAGGACAAGCAUGUGCUAGGAAGGCAUGCCAAGGCCAAGGCAAGCACAUGCAUUGUGAGCGAGACGAGACGGUUACGAAUACCCCAAGAGUGCCCAAGGGAGAGGAAAGAGGUGUCAAACGCAUGCUGAGCCCCRCUUCGGUAGUUUGGCACCUGUACCAUAGGCAUUCUUGCCAACUCCCAUGGCAUUCAGGCAAGCGUGCCUAUGGGAAAAGUCGCUUGAGCUUGUCAACCAUGUUGGGUAUCGGCUGGACGAGAUGAUAGCACAAGGAUGCUUGCAAGGUAACGUUCUGGCAGCACAUCCAGCCUGCAAUUGCUAGUUCAAGCGGGUGGAAUCUGCCUAUAGGGGUGUUGCUUGCUUGCUGUGGAUUUGGGACACGCCCAAUAUCUAUCAUUGACCCAAUGAAGUGUUCAACAUGGGUUGCUGAGGGCUAUUUUGGCACUGAUGAUUCACUUGUUUGCAUGACUUUGAUAAACGUUUAGAUGUCAUGAUGCUUGGGAUCCAAUAAAUUUAUGUGGGAAGYUGAGAGCUGGAGCCCAAUGUCAUUCACCAGACGGCUUAGCUUCGUCAGYGUGUAUAAUAUGUCAUUGAACCCCAAUCCUUGAUGCCAACCUGAUUAUGACCUUUGGAUCGCAAUUAUCAUGGGUAUCGAAAACUGAGUAGGAGUCGUUGAAUAAGUGAGAACAAUUUGUAGCCUUUGUAGCCUUUGUAGCUGUCAGCUUUCGCAUCGCCCGGUGUGUUUUGGGAAUCGCUUUGUGCAUUUGGUUGCCUGUCGUGCCUCUUGGCAUACGUUGGGUGCCACUUGCCGGGUGGUUUUCGGAAACAUCCACCGUAAAGGUGCAUGAGUGGAGUUUGGUUUGUUACGGGUGGGUGGCUCUUUGCUUGCGCAACAACUGCCACCCGACUUACCUCUUCAGAUGUUUGCCUAGGCUUGUAUAGCCUAAGCAGAUUGUGGGUUUCCUGUGUUGCCUACCUACGUCACGGAAUUGUCCCGAUUGAUCAAAGUUGCUUUCGUCUKGUGUCAUCUCGAUGGCAUAAGAUGAACAAUGAAGCUGUCUCUUUGCACCGCAUCGUUAAUGCAUGCAUUGAUGUUGUGGCCCAUUGAGCAUUGCUUGGUACCUAGGAUACGGAACCGUAUGUGGGCAUGGGUCCUUGGGGAUCCUUGUUUUGCCCUUGUUUAGCGUUCGCGCUUCUCUUAGAAUGACUGCCCAGCCGGAAUGGUAAGCCAUUGUGGAUGGGCAUCGUCAAAGAGGAAUGCUACCUGGUUGAUCCUGCCAGUAGUCA
rnacentral:misc_RNA from 1 species